rnacentral:rRNA from 1 species
GCAUAUCAAUAAGCGGAGGAAAAGAAAAUAACAAUGAUUCCCCUAGUAACUGCGAGUGAAGAGGGACAAGCUCAAAUUUUAAAUCUAUCGGGUUUUACCUGAUCGAGUUGUAAUUUGAAGAUGGCGUUUUCUGUGUUUCUGAUCAGUCCAAGUCCUUUGGGAUAAGGCAUCAUGGAGGGUGAGAAUCCCGUUCGGUUGAUCAGAUUCGCUUUACGAUACGUUAUCAAAGAGUCAAGUUGUUUGGGAUUGCAGCUUAAAAUGGGAGGUAAAUUUCUCCUAAGGCUAAAUAACGGCGAGAGACCGAUAGCGAACAAGUACCGUGAGGGAAAGAUGAAAAGAACUUUGAAAAGAGAGUUAAACAGUACGUGAAAUUGUUGAAAGGGAAACGAUUGAAGCCAGUCGUACCUUCGGGUAAUCAGCCUUUUGGGUGUGAUUUUGUGGAGCGUGAAGAGUUAAACGCCUUCAUGCCUGCAUAUUCGUGCACUUUGGGUGUACUUGCCCGUAUGGUUGGUUAACAUCAAUUUUGGUGGUCAUAAAAUGACUGGAGGAAUGUAGCUUCGAUCUUGUAUUGAAGUGCUAUAGCCUUCGGUAGAUGUGAUGAUCGAGAUUGAGGAUUGCAACGGAUACCCUUCGGGGCUACCUGUCUGGUCUCUGAUCGUUGCUCUGGUGCCGAAAGCUUGCUUACGGUUAUCAAAGUCGAUGGUCAAUAGGUUAGAACGGGUUAAAUUCGUUAAGGAUGUUGACGUAAUGGCUUUAAACGAC